ACGUUGUUGUUUACUACGGUACACAUAACCUGCGUUUUAUUUAAUUUUUAAUUUUAAUUUUUGACAAUAAAAUAUGUGUGAUAGUGAUAACUCAGAAGAUUAAAGUGAUCAACCUUGUGCAAAGAAAGUGAAACUACACUAUGGCAUAGCACCAAGCCAUCACGAAGUACAUCGUAUUUUUCAAGUGUCCAUAAAUUUCCCAACAAUCAUCACAGGGAUCACAACAUAUUAUUAUUGAAACUGGACGCCACCCUGAUCAGUUAAACACAAGGCAUACUAUGAAUGUUGUAGUAAACAAUGGUAAAAGAGAACGUCAAAAACAAUACAGGGAGCGGAACAGAGACAAAUUAAAACAUCGUGAAGCGGAAACAAGAAAGCGUCUACAAUCUUCACAAAGCAUUAUCGGACCGUCUAGCUCUUCAAACUCAAAUAUAAUGGAAGUAAAUAAUGAAGAACCAGUAACUGCUAUUUCAUCCACUCUUCAAAAUAGAAGAGACUGUCAAAAAAGAUACAGGGAAAAGAACAGAGACAAAUUAAAACGUCGUGAAGCGGAAAGAAGAAAGCGUCUACAAUCUUCACAAAGCAUUAUCGGACCGUCUACCUCUUCAAACUUAAAUAUAAUGGAAGUAAAUAAUGAAGAACCAGUAACUGCUAUUUCAUCUACUCUUCAAAAUAGGAGAGACUGUCAAAAAAGAUACAGGGAAAAGAACAGAGACAAAUUGAAACAUUGUGAAGCGGAAAGAAGAAAGCGUCUACAAUCUUCACAAAGCGUUAUCGGACCGUCUACCUCUUCAAACUCAAAUAUAAUGGAAGUAAAUAAUGAAGAAUCAGUAACUGCUAUUUCAUCUACUCUUCAAAAUAAGAGAGACUAUCAAAAAAGAUACAGGGAAAAGAACAGAGACAAAUUGAAACAUCGUGAAGCGGAAAGAAGAAAGCGUAUACAAUCUUCACAAAGCAUUAUCGGACCGUCCACCUCUUCAAACUCAAAUAUAAUGGAAGUAAAUAAUGAAGAAUCAGUAACUGCUAUUUCAUCUACUCUUCAAAAGAGAAGAGACUGUCAAAAAAGAUACAGGGAAAAGAACAGAGAAAAAUUGAGUCAGCGUGAAGCGGAAAGAAGGAGACGUCUACAGAAUGCAGAAAGUAUUAUAGAAUUACAUACUUCACCAAAUAUAGGAAAUAGAGAAAUAAUUACAGAACCAAUAAUUAUAAUAGAGGAAGUAAGUACAAAUUCUCGAAAUUUAACUGGUUUGGGCGAAAUGGAGCAUGAAGUGUUUGACAUAUCUCAGCAAAAUUCAAGUAACCUAUCAAGCUUAAAUAUUGCGGCAAUUCCGAAUAACUACAGUCAAUUUAGUUACCAUAAAACAGCUCAUGAAUAUUUCAUCGACAACUUCAAAAAUAAUGAAUUUGGGCAUGCUUGUUCACUUCAUUGUAUUGCAAAAUUUAAACGACAAAAUGUUAGAGACGCUGGAGUGGCCAUCUAUAAAAACAACAACAUUUCACAUGUUACUACACUCAACAUGGAUCUAGCAAUUCAAAAUACUACAGAAGUUCAUGUUUCCCAAACAUCUAUUGGUGAUAUUUGUGCUUCACAUGUCAAACUAGAAGAAGGAAGUGAACUAAUUAUGAUCGUAGUAUACAUUUCACCUAAUAACAAAAUGGAUCAUAUAAUUUCAUUUUUACAUGAAAGGUUAUUUCCUUAUAGUCAAAGAGGUUCAACAAUUUUUAAAACGAAUAAACAUAAACUACCAAUAAUUUUAGCUGGAGACUUUAAUGUAAAUUUUACAAGAGCUGAAUCAAUGCCAUUAAUUACAUUUCUUCAAAAAGAAUUUCAAUUGCAAAUCAACAACAAUCCAAGAGAAUCUACUACCAAAUAUGGAACAACAAUAGAUGCUGUAUUUGUGAGAUAUCUUGAUGAUGUUUCAUCCAGUACUUUUGUAACGUACUUUAGUUAUCAUCGACCAAUCGUCACAGCAAUACCGGCAGAGGAAACAUCGAAUAUAACUAUUACUGAAGUCACAGAUGAAAAUAUUUAAAUUGUGGCCACUUGGUAUUAAUAUCGAAUUUUUAUAUCACAUGUAAAUAAAUGUUUAUUAAAUAAAGUUACCAUUUUUUGUAAGAAA